AGAAUAAGCACCGGCUAACUACGUGCCAGCAGCCGCGGUAAUACGUAGGGUGCGAGCGUUAAUCGGAAUUACUGGGCGUAAAGCGAGCGCAGACGGUUACUUAAGCAGGAUGUGAAAUCCCCGGGCUCAACCUGGGAACUGCGUUCUGAACUGGGUGACUAGAGUGUGUCAGAGGGAGGUAGAAUUCCACGUGUAGCAGUGAAAUGCGUAGAGAUGUGGAGGAAUACCGAUGGCGAAGGCAGCCUCCUGGGAUAACACUGACGUUCAUGCUCGAAAGCGUGGGUAGCAAACAGGAUUAGAUACCCUGGUAGUCCACGCCCUAAACGAUGUCAAUUAGCUGUUGGGCAACUUGAUUGCUUAGUAGCGUAGCUAACGCGUGAAAUUGACCGCCUGGGGAGUACGGUCGCAAGAUUAAAACUCAAAGGAAUUGACGGGGACCCGCACAAGCGGUGGAUGAUGUGGAUUAAUUCGAUGCAACGCGAAGAACCUUACCUGGUCUUGACAUGUACGGAAUCCUCCAGAGACGGAGGAGUGCCUUCGGGAGCCGUAACACAGGUGCUGCAUGGCUGUCGUCAGCUCGUGUCGUGAGAUGUUGGGUUAAGUCCCGCAACGAGCGCAACCCUUGUCAUUAGUUGCCAUCAUUAAGUUGGGCACUCUAAUGAGACUGCCGGUGACAAGCCGGAGGAAGGUGGGGAUGACGUCAAGUCCUCAUGGCCCUUAUGACCAGGGCUUCACACGUCAUACAAUGGUCGGUACAGAGGGUAGCCAAGCCGCGAGGUGGAGCCAAUCUCACAAAACCGAUCGUAGUCCGGAUUGCACUCUGCAACUCGAGUGCAUGAAGUCGGAAUCGCUAGUAAUCGCAGGUCAGCAUACUGCGGUGAAUACGUUCCCGGGUCUUGUACACACCGCCCGUCACACCAUGGGAGUGGGGGAUACCAGAAGUAGGUAGGGUAACCGUAAGGAGCCCGCUUACCACGGUAUGCUUCAUGACUGGGGUGAAGUCGUAACAAGGUAGCCGUAGGGGAACCUGCGGCUG
rnacentral:rRNA from 1 species